GGCUGGUCCGAGUGCAGUGGUGUUUACAACUAAUUGAUCACAACCAGUUACAGAUUUCUAUGUUCUUUCGCCACUCCCACUGCUUCACUUGACUAGCCUUUA
ensembl:Y_RNA Y_RNA Y RNA